GUACGCCAGAGAAGCAGCACAGCCAGGCCACAGCCAACCCUGCCUAGAGCUGAUGAUGGUGGGAAUGCUGGUUCUUCGUCUGUUCCGUGGCCACUAAGGCGCCAAUCACAGGCCAGCGUUACUGUGUCUACAAGGCCACCCAAGUGGCCCCGUGUACAGGCUCUUGCUCCUGCACCAGCAUCACCCCCCCAAAGGCGCAUCUCUGCAGUGGCUUCCGUGCCACCACUGGCACUUUUGGCAAGCCCCCAAAGUGUAGAUCCGCAAUCCCCACAGGUGUCUGAUCCAGCCAUCAUGAGCGACAAUGGCCAGCAGGCCCGUGCCCAGGAGACAUUUACACUCCACCUGCAGCCCAUCGACCCAACACAGGCAAACAUGGCUCAGGACAUUCAACAACAACCGCAAGCUUCUCAAAGCCAACAAAUGAGCUCAACACCAGGGACAAUGCAAACGGAUCCAGAGUUUUGGUCAGGUUGGGCAUCACACCAGGCACACCACUCCGCGUGUCUCACCACCCAAACACAACACCUGUCUAGUCUGCCCCAUCAUUUGCCAAAAGUUAGUCGCAACUCUGCCAGACUCAUCGUGCAGGUGGGGCGGAUAGCAAACACAAUGGAGCAGAUGAGGGCAGACAACUCACAAAUGCAGGCAAACCAUCAGCGCAUCAUGUAUGAGCAACAGCGGCAACACCAAACACUGAUCCAGAUUAUACAGCACAAUCAAGUUAUAAAUGACAAUCUGUCUAGAAUCAUUGCCACCAAUACUGCCGCUUAUACACAGCUUACGGCCAGUUUAAAUAUUUUGAGCCAAAAUUUAAUUGCAAUGGGCCAACAACAUGUGACCUCAAGCUCAAGCACAACAACCCCUAGCCAAACACCAGUACAAUCACCAGUUCGACGAUCAAGUCGAAGCCGCACCCACGAGCACCCACAAGCCUCUGCACCCAGCACCCAAAAAAAAAGAAAAUAAUAUGUAGUGCCCAUAAUAUGGUGGGCAUUUCAAAUUAUCACAUAUGUGUUAUGA